AACGAACGCUGGCGGCGUGCUUAACACAUGCAAGUCGAGCGAGAAAGCCGUUUCGGGGUGAGUACAGCGGCGCACGGGUGAGUAACACGUGGAUAAUCUACCUUUGGUCUGGAACAACCCGGGGAAACUCGAGCUAAUCCCGGAUAAGACCACGAAUCGUAAGAGACGUGGGAAAAGCGGGGGACCUUUUCGAAGGCCUCGUGCCGAUUGAUGAGUCCGCGGCCCAUCAGCUUGUUGGCGGGGUAAUGGCCCACCAAGGCUAAGACGGGUAGCUGGUCUGAGAGGAUGAUCAGCCACACUGGAACUGAGACACGGUCCAG
rnacentral:rRNA from 1 species